AUGCCUGUACGUCUGUGUUUGUGUUUUUCAGUGGGAGUGGAAUCUGCCGGUAGAGUCUGGGGCCAGUGGACGGUGGACCCAGGAUGCGCGUCCUCUGGCGCCGGUAGCGAUGUGGGGAGCAGCGCGUCGUCCAACAAUGAGCCGGAUGUAGAGUACACUGAAGUGGUGCACCCCCAGUCUGAGGACUCUGUCAGAGGUGACACACACACACACACCAGUUUAUUACUCUGUUUACCUGGACUUCAGUUCCUCACAAUAGCUGUGCCUCUCCCUCUCAUAGCCUGUUCCCUGCCAUCCUGUUACUCUCUGCCAAAAAAACAUCACGAGGGGUUCUCACAGCCUUCAUUCUUUCCACUGAUAAGACCCCAACUGCUUCCUGGGAGGGCUCUAAUUGGCCCCAAUUAGGACUUCUCCGGGUCCACAGGGAUCACCACGACGAUCAGCCUCACCCAGAGAUUGUCUCCUGACGAGUAGACUAGGGCUGGACUAAAUCUGAUCCGACUGUCUAUGAUCCCAGCAGCUAGGAACCAGCCCUCCUCCUCUGAUAUAAACCAUAGCCCAUUUGAUAUGGCAGCUGAAGAGGCUUGUUGAGUAUCCAGGUGUAUUUCGUCAAGGGAUGGGGCCCCUCCUGGGACCCGAGUGUGAGCUAAGCGGUUGUGAUGUUGAAUUUGAAGGUUUGGGUUUCCAUCAUUUGCAUGUGAGUGAGUCGUUUCCAUCGUUUCAUUUCUUUGUUUUGCAGUUCCCUUAAGGAAAGGUACAGAGACUGUGUACAGUGAAGUCCAGAACUCUCCAACCGGUGAGUUUUCAGUUUUCCACCAGGUCUUAAUAUAACUUUGCUUGGACUUCCCACUAAAGAUGAGUUGAGCAAUGCGUAAAAAGAUGCGUUCAUUGUAUUGUUCCCCGUCCAGCAAACCCAGUGGUCUGUAUGAAGGGGUCAGAAUGAAGGGGUCAGAAUGAAGGGGUCAGAAUGAAGGGGUCAGAAUGAAGGGGUCAGAAUGAAGGGGUCAGUAUGAAGGGGUCAGUAUGAAGGGGUCAGUAUGAAGGGGUCUGUAUGAAGGGGUCUGUAUGAAGGGGUCAGUAUGAAGGGGUCAGUAUGAAGGGGUCUGUAUGAAGGGGUCUGUAUGAAGGGGUCAGUAUGAAGGGGUCAGUAUGAAGGGGUCAGUAUGAAGGGGUCAGUAUGAAGGGGUCAGUAUGAAGGGGUCUGUAUGAAGGGGUCUGUAUGAAGGGGUCUGUAUGAAGGGGUCAGUAUAAAGGGGUCUUUUCGUAGCUGACUCAAAUGUGGAAUCUGUCGGUGAAUCAGUCCACAACAAAAUGUGCAUUCAUCAAGUCAAACUGAAUCUAGUGUGAGCCGCCUGCUGCCAGAUGGCACUAGGAUGCAGGGGUUGAUGUGUCAAGUGAAGACAUGAAGGGAAGCAGGCAGCGUGUCACAGAGGAGGGACCUGAAUGUAUGCCAGUGCUGACAGGGCGACGUGCAAGAAAGUGUACCUUUUUGUUAGAAUACGUUUAUAAGGAUUGUUUUGCUCAGAGGUGAGCCAGAUAUUUAUUUCCGUCAGUAAACCAGGCUUGUAUUUUCAGUUCCUUUCGUAUACCGCUGUUGGUUUCUUGUCUCAUCUUUUUCUCUUGGUUUUAUUCUUUUUCUCUUGGUUUUAUUCUUUUUCUCUUGGUUUUAUUCUUUUUCUCUUGGUUUUAUUCUUUUUCUCUUGGUUUUUUUCUUUUUCUCUUGGUUGAACAAUGAUCUCCAAUUCAAGGGGACAAAUUAGUCAGCAUCUGGGUUAGGUCGUCAUAACUGUUGAAUGAGUCAACCUUAUGAAUAUCUUCUGACAAAACCAAAAAUGUAUUGAAUGCCCUCAGAACAGAGGAGGAAAGGAGGAGUAAUAGUAAUGUCCUGAACUCGACAUUGCUGGUGCCAGGCAAAAAAAAAAAGAUAGAAAAAAACGUACAGAUUUAGGAAUGCAGGGAGUAGCAAGUCUGUGUUCAGAGUACAGACUGUGCAUGACUUUAUCAAGUCACAGAACACACACACGCGUGCAGAGCAUAUCAUCUCUUUAACAAUCUGCGUUUACCCUUUCUCCCUAAUCCUGUCUUGUGUUGUUGUUUUCAGGGCCAUACGAUGACCAGCGCCAUCAUGUAAGUACGACCUCAGUACCUGCCACUUCACUGUCUGAGAGGGGUGGGGCUCAUCCAGUCGCUGUGAAGAAAAACGCUCAAUAACCACACCUGGCAUUUCCUUUAACACUCAGUACGGGUGUGGAGUGCCAAAAUUAAGGCCACUGGGCACACUUUACCCCCCCACACCACCCUCUUGGUGGGCGAGGCUCCCUGGAUAGUAGUAAUUGCGCAGUGGGAAGCCGUGGUCAGACUUUCCAGACCAGGACACAGGGGAAUUUGGGCUGGGGCUUCCUUCCCUAUCGCCCAGUGAGAUCAGCCAGAAGCCCAGCGAAAUUACACCUCCAAGGACAGCUGGGCCUCCACACCAGCGAUUGCCUUUAGUGAGUUACACAGGGCUUAUUAAAGUCCCAAGUGUCUGCCGUUUUGCCUAUAUUUGGAGCUGAUAAUCUCAUGGCUUUUGAUGUCUUACAGAGAGUAAUUAGAUGUGAUGAGCUCAGUGAGGAUAUGACGUGACGGUUUCACUCCUCGGUUAGGUAACAGGACGUGUUUCAGUGGUGACGGGAUUUGAUUUGAUUUAGCAAUGUAUUUUGUGAACCCACGAUCUAGAAGUACACUGUUAUUGGAGAACCAAUUUUUCAAUAGUUGUUGAUGGAUUUCCCGUCGGCGUUGAAUGAAUGGGAUUGUGUUGAUUCGGGUAUGGGACAGCAUGUAGUGGGGCUCAGCUCAUACGCAUACAUACUUAUUACUUUCUUUGGGUCAUUGUUAACACUUUACUGGAGCUCGGUUGAACGUUGCCAUCAGUGACAGUGUUGCGUGAGACGUGAUCUCAGUCUUCAUUGGGAUCCUGGCUGUUUCUUGGCAGGGUUCACUGGAGAAUGCCGACCUCAACAGCACCCAGCCUGAGGUCCAUCAUGCCCUGCUGGAGGCCCGUCACCAUGACCUCCCUGACCUCCCAGUGCCUGUCGAAUAGAGGUUCCCUCUGACCCCUCGCGACCCGCCGUGUGCCAAGCCAUGACCACAGACACCCCUCCUUUCCCCCCAGUUUAAAGCCCACUCCUCAUUGUCAUGUGUCUUUUUAUACUGUACGUUUGUGAAAUUGCUUACUCCGAUAAGCUGUACGUUUCUGCAUCAGUUCUACCGUCAGAAUACAAUCCCUCAACAUGCUUCCUUUGACAUGCUGUACAUAGCGGUCUUUCCUAGUUGACCUUUGUUUAGCCUUUUUGUGUUUGCAUAACCCCUAAUGGUGGGCCAGAGUUCAUUUAGCCUCUCCCUUGCUUUGAUAGCGGAGUUUACAUUAAGUUCCCCUUGAUCUACUAAACGGAUACCAUGAACAUUUAUGUCCGUCACGGUUUCUCCAGACUUCACAGCCGCCCUCUGUCGUCCGACCGGGCCCGUGCCCAAAUCAGGCAACGCAGCCAGGAUCACUGAAUUACACGGUGGAAAUGACUACGGAAAAGAUUUCUGAGUGUAAACAAAGGAGCUGCCCGUCUCCCGCUGCUGUGGAAUAUGAUGUCGAUGUUGUCACAUCCUGCCAGACUAAGCUGGAGUGAGUCAAACGGUUAAUAUUGUCGUCAAGAUUGAAAUGACUCCGGCAAGCAGUGUUUUACAUGAAUUCAAUUUGAUUCAUUUUUGAAGUUCCUCUGUAGAUGCUUUACAGGUUGUCAUACUGUGAACAAACUACCUCUAGAUAAGCAACGGCUUGAUAAGGUUAUGGCUUGUUGACAGUUACAGUGAUGUUUAUAGUGCGUAGUGCAUCUACUUGUGUACUUCGGGGGCUCUCCAAAUAGUGUCACCUAACAUUUCUUUGUAAAAUCACACCAAAUGUAAGGAAGGUGCUUACAAUUUAUAAAUGCUAUGAGAUGUGUUUAUAAAUGUGUUCAAAACACUUGUAUAGAAAAAUCUAUCAAGAUAGUAUUUGGGUAUCAAAGGACAGCUGAUCAGCAAUAUGUUCCUUUUUUUUCCUCCUAUAUUUUUUUUAAAACAUGACCCUAAUGGUGUAUUAUUAUUGUAAUAUUCAAAGUGACCUGUAGAGAGCAUUAUUCUCUUAUAAAUACAGGCAGGUUACUAGGCAGUGUGAGGACAUUGUGUGAUUACGCCAUCUUGUGACUAAAAUGUAUAUUCCAGUUUUUUGCCAGACCGCAGAAGCAGAGCCUGCCAAGAGCGAAUGGCUCUGACUGACUGACUGCCCAUUGUUAAAUUGCAUUGUGGUUAGAGAUGCCGUCUGCCACAUACGAGAUCGGGUAUCCAAUCUGGCUAGGGACAAAACAAAUUAAGAUUAGUUGAGGAUAAACUAAAGCUUCAGUAGUUACAUAUAGUAAGCCAAAAGCAAAGUGAAGUGUUGAACUUGAAACACUGCUGUCUCAUCCAGGGAGAGCAGGUUAGAGUGAGGGUAACAAAACACUUCACUCUUCCUACUAGUCCACUUGAUAGAACUCUGUGAAGAAAGAAGUUACACGAAAAACAGCAAUAUAUUAUAUUUUUUGACAAACAAGUAGUAUACAUAUUUUUCCCACCACCAAUGUUCUUAGAGUUGUAUACAGCCAAUUCGUCUUUUAGUUUCUGUUCCUUUUCUGUCACUUUUUAAGUUCACCUGUUUUAACAGGACACGUGAAUAUAGUUACCUUAAACCAAAUCAUUAUGAAAAUCAAUAAUAACUAUUUGACAGUAAUUUUUUUUCAUUAUAUGUACUUAUAGCUAUUAGCUAGCCAUCUACAUUAAUCUGUUUCUAAUUUAAUGCGUUAAAUGUAAAUUUUUGAUACGCAAAAAGUAUUUGUCACUUCUAAUAACAAAGCUGGCAUUGGUCCAUAAAUUGCUGCAAACCCCUUCCUUUGUUCACCACAAUCACCUCUACUCAUAGCCUGGCCAAACUAGGCGGGCCUAUUUUAUUUUCUUGUUUCCUGUUUAGAGCCCAUAUUCACCAAGCGUCUGUGUUGAUCAAUAAUAUAAUUGUAAACUAAGACUAAAACUGCACCUGAAAAAACAUUUUCAUAAACUCGAAUAAUAUAAGAGUGAGCAGGGGCGGGCAAUAUGUGUAUGUUUAAUUUAAAUAAAAAUGGGAACUGAAAAUGUUUAGUGUCAAAGUGUCAAACUACUAAAUGUGGUUGAACAAAUCACAUGUUACAGUUUACCAAGUAAGCAUACAUAAAACCCUUGUAUUGUGUAACUGUUAUCCUUGGUUUUUUUAUUUUUUGCUGUACAAUACAUAAACAGAAUU
ensembl:lncRNA